GGGGCACAUAGGAAGGCUGUGUGGAAAGAACGGAUGCCUUGCCAGGGUGGCGAGUACUGUGUCUGCCUGAAGGUUUGUGCGUCAGUACCCGGAAGCAGGUGCAGACUUUUCCCCGGACUCCCUCCCGGCUAGCCGUGGCGCACUAACCCCCUCCAGGCUGUGUUCACGCCGCCAACCCCAGUCCUCUCCCUGCGCUCCGUCCGAAACCGAAACCCGAGCCUCAGAGCCUCAGCUCGCAGCCCCGCCCGCCCCGGCGGGGGAGCAGACAAGCCUCUCGGGCUGAGAGAAGAUAUUGCAACCCCAGAAAAAGAUACCUGGCUGCUUGGCCUUUCACUGGAGUCCGAGUGAAGGACUGCCCUCUGAGGCAGCGUUGACAUCUAAGGAAAGGCAUUCACAGCACUCUGUGCUGAACUCGGACUGGACCUGGAAACCCAGACAACCCUUCCAAAGCCUUCCAAAGCCUUAUCAUCUUCCAGAACGCUUUACACACAGAAGAUAAAAAUGUAGUUCCGUAUAACACCGCAAGAAAACUUUUGCAAAGGUUAUUACAAAGUAUUUAGCAGAGCUCCCUGUGCUAUACGGCAACUCUUCAUCAGCCGCGUGUGGGCUGAGAGGAAGGUUUGGAAUUCUGAGAAUUCCCAGGCUUGGAGUGAAUCCACACCACAUCCUUCUCACGGGACCUUCACUGGGUGCAUGGUAGCAGCACCAAGGCAGGGAGGAACCUGUCGCCACCCUGGGGUGUUCUGAUCGCAAGCAUUUAAGCGGAGCCUAGAGGAUCCCCACCCCCGCCCCGGUCAGGCAGGUGGGGAUGGAAGUUUCCCUCCAGAAGGUAUUUGCCUGGUUCACCAGAAAACACCUGACGUCCAAUGCUUUAGUCCAAUGAGUUCCCUGAAAGCAGGGCUACUGCCUCUUCAUCUCUCUCCUAGCAGGGCGUGUGCUUAACUGACAAGUCGUCCAGUGAGUGAUUUAAUACAUAAAGCAUCUGACCUUUGCUAAGACGCUGCUUUCGGAGGCAAGGAACCAGGUUUUCAUGUCGGUCCUCCUACCGGUCUGUCGCUGAGAAAUAACUUCUGUCUGAGCCUCCACUCCCCGUGUGUGACUCACUCGCAGAUGUAAAGUCGAACUCUGCUGAAGGCAGGGACACAGUUACGGAUGCAUGUUUUUGAAAGGAAAAAAUGGUUGUGAAUGUGAAAUCCACGUUUCUUCCUUGACUGUUUUAGAUCUUAUAGGGUAGAGUAAAUUUCUUAUGUGAAGGCACCUAGAGAUUUGCCUCAUGGCCCUCAAGGCAUGAUUACCAGGGGGUAAGGGGGAGACGGAUAAAUUGGGAGAUUGGGAUUGACAUAUACACACUACUGUGUAUAAAAUAGAUAACUAAUAAGAACCUAUUGUAUAACACAGGGAACUCUACUCAAUACUCUGUAACGGCCUAUAUGGGAAAAGAAUCUUAAAAAAGAGUGGAGGGGGCUUCCCUGGUGGUGCAGUGGUUGAGAGUCCGCCUGCCGAUGCAGGGGACACGGGUUCGUGCCCCGGUCCGGGAAGAUCCCACAUGCCGCGGAGCGGCUGGGCCUGUGAGCCAUGGCCGCUGAGCCUGCGCGUCCGGAGCCUGUGCUCCACAAUGGGAGAGGCCACAACAGUGAGAGGCCCGCGUACCGCAAAAAAAAAAAAAAAAAAGAAUGGAGGUAUGUAUAUGUAUAACAGAUUCACUUUGCUGUACACCUGAAAUUAACACAACAUUGUAAAUCAACAAUACUCCAAUAAAAAUUAAAAAUAAUAGUAACACAUUGAGCUGAGAGUGCAAAAUGGGUGGAGAGCCCGUCCACUCGAUUUACAACCUGGACAGCGGCCUGCAUCGUGGACGAGGAGGCUUGUCUGUGGACGCUUCAGGAAUGUGGCCCGGUUAGUUUCACGUUGACCCUCCCCAGUUAUCCCUGACCACCCCCGUCAGGGGGCGCUAGAUAGUAAGGUUCUCGGGAGUAAGA